rnacentral:lncRNA from 1 species
AUGGUGAGUGCCCCCCAAUGGUGAGUGCAUGUGCCAGCCAUGAUAGAUGGGAGUGGGAUGAUCCUCAGGCCCCUGGCAGAGAGUUCAGUUUCUGAGGUCAUCAGAGAAGAUUUGCCAGAGGCUUUCGCUUACCCAAGGGAAGUAAUGUUAAAGGGUCAUGUGUUUUUCUGAAGCAAAGUAUCGCUUUUACAGAGAAAUGGCUGCUACCUAGGGCCAGUGCCUUCACAGUUUGGUUAUGCUAAGUAGAAGAUACAGAUUUGUAAUGCCUAAAUUCUCACACUUCUAAUCCUACAGUCCAAUUAUUCUGGCAUUUGCUACAAUGUGCUCUGAAGAAAUGGAUUGGAAAUAAACAAAUAAAUAAAUAAAUAAAUAAUUCCACAGGAGGAAAAAAAUGCGUUCUGAAAGGAUCAGGAUUUUCAAAGCCCCCAAGCUUCAACAUAUCCGAGGAUCGAAGGCCUGAAUAAAGUGGCAUCACAGAAGUGUGAGAACAGCCUUUCCCCAUUCUCCGGAGUGGAUCCAUGAGCCAGGAGUCAGGCCUGCACUUUGAGGAGCGGAAGUGCUUUUGUGAGGACAAGCAAGAAUGUCUUGUAAUUUCAACUACCCUUAAAGCUGUUUCAGGGUUCCCUGAUAAUGAACUAACUGAUACUGGGACUUCCCUUCUCCAUCCCCCAAAGAAAAGCUGCGUUCCAACUCAACACCUCAUAGAACCAGAGCCCCCUAAUAUCCCUAGGUGUGGGCAGCUGGCAUUCCCCAACAUUCCCCUAACACCCAGCACCUAAGCUAAGAAUGCUUGGGGCCUGAACCCCAAAUGUUUAUUCAGCCAUGUAAAGCCACUUGCACACUUGUCCUAUAAAAAAGGAAAGCAACAGAAUGUUUUUCUCCUCUUGGAGCAGAGCCCCACAGUGAAUCUAGCAAUGCACUGGCUCAAACAUGCCCCCUUUUCAGCAGCAUGCUGAAAGAAAUAGGAUCCAUGCGUCAGCUGGAAUUUCUAUCUCUGAGUUUCUACCUAAACUAAGUGAUACUUUCUGUUAUUCCCAGUCACAUCAAAACAAAUGUGAGAUUCAAAUUUUAAACUGGGCUAUACUGUAACAAAUUAGACUUGACUCUUUUUGUUUUGUUUUGUUUAAAUAACAGAAAGUGACUAGAAAACUAUAGGAUCCACCUAAGAUGCUAAGACAUGGCAAAGUGAGACCAAACAUAGCACAACAAAUAGUUGGAGACAAAAUAAAAGCAUUUUACAUUUGUGCACUACAAUGUUCAGGCUAUUCAACACACUGAUUUCACACAUACAGUCCCAUUUAUUGCCAACAAUAACCCUGCAAAGUAGGUACUAUUAUUGGGCACAUUUUACAUAUAAAACGACUUAAAAUUAGAGGAGGUAGUAUAUAUUUUCCUAAUUUUUGGCAGCCCAGCAUCUAAAGCCCUUUUCUAUGCUUGAAGAAUGCCCUGCCUUAUGAGUGAGUCUUGCUGGAAAGAAGAGACCAGCUUCCAAUAUAAAAACUGAAAAUACCAAAUACUUUUCCCAUAUUCCCUGAUAACUAUCACACUGACAUUAGAAGAGUCUCCACCAACAGAUGUGAGCAUGCCAGUUUUCCCCAGAAUCUAAAGAUACAAAGAAAGAGGAUUUUUGUGGGAAACCACUCUGGUGAAAAUGCCAGUGGAAGUCCUACACUGAACCCGAUUUCCAGUGGCAAGAAUUUUAGUGGCUCCAGCAGCGAUGCCCAGUGCUCCGUGACUAUGGGUUCACAAUGUACACAAACUGGUUGGGCCACUGCAGAUGAAAGAGAUGGCUUCAAGUGCUCAGUUAUGUGUCUUGAUUGGUAAUGUGGCCAUUGGCUGGGUAAUGUCCACACUGCUUCUCUGGCCCUUUUGAAGUGUCUGUUAGCCAUAAUAACUAGAUUUAUUUUCUGAUUAAAUUAGCUAGAAUUAGGUUCUGACUGACUUAGGAUAAGUAAUUGCUCUCUGAUCACACAUAGAGCAAAUGAUGGAGCUGGAAUUCCAGUCUUCACUAGGUUAUACUGAAUGAUGAGAUAAUGUUAUGGGCUGAAUUCAUGUGUUGAAGUCCUCAUCUCCAGAACCUCAGAAUGUCUGUAUUUGGAGAAGAGUUUUUAAUGUUGUAAUUCAGUGAAAGUGAGGUCAGUAGGGUGGCUAUAAUUCAAUAUGACCUGAAUCCUUACGAGAAUGAAAAUCUGGACACAGAAAUCCGUGUGGGAGGCCAUGUGAAGACACGGAGAAAGCAUCCAUCUGUGAGCCAAAGAGAGAGGCCUCAGAAGAAACCACCCCUGCAGACACCUUGUAAUUGGACGUCUAGCCUUCAGAACUGUGAAACAGGAAAUUUCUGUUAUUUAAGCCACCCAGUCUAUGGUACUUUGUUAUGGCAGUCCUAAUAAACUAAUACCAGGAAUGAGGAAUACGAAAGAAUUCAAGAUGAUCUCAAAGUUGCUCAAUGAGGUGACUUUAGAAAAGAUGAAGGGUAUGAGAGGAGUAGCCAUUGCAGAAGGAGAACAAGAUCAUGAAUUCAAUUCAGAAAACUUUGAUUUUGAGACCUCUGCAGGAGAAAAUAAGAGAAAGCUUCAAAGGCCUAGCUUCCUUUAUAGAGUCCUGGGAGAGACCUAAAGUUGAGGAAUAGAGAGAAAAGGCACCUCUGGAUACUCACUGGCAUUGGAUCCAGCUCUGAGUUGCUUGCUUUCUGGGCUUCAGAAUGACAAAGCAGGUUUAUGCACAGAGUUUUUCAAUAAGCAAGUCCCCACUGAAGGUCACAGGCCUAUUUCAGCAGUGGGAGAAACCACAGUCAGCAGUAUUGGGCCAUGCAAGUGAAGGGUUGUUCACUGGAGAGGUUUGUUACCUUAUUGGGAAGAUGAAGUUUUCAUCCAGCAUUAAGCCUAUGGCUAUAAUUCAGGGAUGAGACAAGGGUGUUUGCAUUUGUUAGCAUGAAGACAAACAAAUCCAACACCCUUAGGUCAGAAUUUCAGCUUAACAUGGUAUCUUGUGCUUGAAUAUCCCUUGCAACCUCUCCUGACUUUCCACUUUCCAAAGUGAGUCUUUUAAAAUGCUCACGUUUUGGCUCACACCUGUAAUCCCAGCACUUUGGGAGGCCGAGGCGGGCGGAUCACGAGAUCAGGAGAUCAAGACCACGGUGAAACCCCGUCUCUACUAAAAUACAAAAAAUUAACCGGGCGUGGUGGUGGGCUCCUGUAGUCCCAGCUACUCGGGAGGCUGAGGCAGGAGAAUGACGUGAACCCCGAAGGCGGAGCUUGCAGUGAGCCGAGAUUUCGCCACUGCACUCCAGCCUGGGCGACACUGCGAGACUCCGUCUCAAAAAAAAAAAAAAAAAAAAAAAAAAAAAGGCCACGUUUAUUGGUCUUAUGCCUAUAAAAAAAGUCUAUGUGGACAACCACUCAUUGAUUCAAUAAAUAAUGCUUAAGUGCUUACUCUGUGCCAGGAUUCUGAAAGGCACUGUGGGUAAAUGGUAGGCAAAUCUAAACCUGGUCCUGCCUUCAGAGAGUCUACUGUUUGAACGGAAAAAGAAGAGAAUGAGGCCAAACAAGAGGUUGUUCACCUGAGGAAAUGGAUGGGAGCUGGGCAAGCCUACCUGGCAGAGGCUCACCUGGCUGAGUACCUAUGAAAUUGCCAUGGAUGAUCUCAAAAUUCAAAGAAAAGUCCAGUGCAUAUAAAUAAAAACCUUGAAAACACAAAUUCAUAGGCAAAAGGCUGAGAGGCCACAUAAAUUACUUUUAGUGAAAACAACAAAUAAUAUUAGUAUUAUUUCUGUUUCAGUAUUCAAGGCAGUGGUGAUGGGAACUUGAGGGCAUGAGAAUCAGGGCAAAGAGAAUUACUGAAAGAGUAAAACUAUCUUAAAGAUGUGAGGUUGGCCACUGAUGGAGAGGACAAGCAGGACAGGGAUCGGGGGACCAAAGUCCAGCUGCACUGACUCCAUUCAGCUCUGCUCUGUUCACCCUCAUCCCAAACCUGUCCCCAUCCCCAGACAAAUAGAAGCUGUGGACAAAGAUUGUUUUUGCCCUCCACAUCUCCAAUACUCUGUUUUCAAAUGACUGCAACCAACCCAACAAAAGAACUCACUUAACAUAUUAGUAGUAUCUUAAAUGAUGCAAUUUUAUCUUGUCCAUGAAAUAGCUUCAAUUAAAACAAAUUAUCUCUUUCCAUUCAUAGCUUAAUUCAUAUAGCACAUCUGAUAGAGCCUUUUUAAAUGCUCACUUUUAUUGGUCUUAUUUCAAAAUUAAUUCAUGUUUAUAGUCUAGCAUUUAGAAAAUUCCAAGGCAAAGCAGGCUACAUUUGUGUGUUUCCUCUUGGUGUCUCCAGUGCCCCAUGCCGCCACUGCACAGAGGACAUUAAGCAUUGAACACAGAGAACUAAACCACUUAAGGAACCACCCAUAAUCUCAAUACCAAUAGAUACUUACCCUCACUUUUUUGAUAUGUUUUUUCCAGUCACUUGUGUAUGUAAGCAUACAUACAAAAACAGGUGUGUGUGUGUGUGUAAAAAUGUGUGUUUACAGAGUUCGUUUUACAGGAAAGCACAAAGUCAGAUAGUUGUUAUCGGGCACCUAUGGGAAAUGUCAUAGGAGACUAAAGAUGAGACGAAAACUUUGGGACCACCACUCUUAAUCAUCCUAAUACUUGAUCUUUCCAUGGCUACCCUGAGAUAGAAUAAAUGGCUUUUGUAAAACAACUUAAACCUCAUCUCCUUAAUUGAGGUAUCCUGCUUUCUUACUCUUAUUUACGUGUCUAAGUCAGGGAGAAACAUCCCAUUAUGUCACAAAUAAGAUUAAAGGUAGUUGUAAUUAAAUUUCACCAUGUGCCCUGAGUUUUCCCACCUGAGAAUUAUAAGAAAAAAAUCAAAAGGUCUUCUCCUCUUACUAGACUACCCACCAAAUGGUCAUUACAUUUUCCUGUAGGCUGCAGAUAAAAUCUCUCUAUCAUAAGUCUCCCAAUCACCAAGUGAGAAAACACCACUCUGGGGUCCAGGGAUGUGUAGGCAAUUGAAGAGUUUCUCUUUUAAGAAUGGCAGCUCAUUAGGGUAAGUGUCCAAGAACAUAAUGAAAAAAUUGUGGUAUAUUUAUACUGGGGGAUAUGCCAGAUUAAAAAACGAACACAUUUGAGUUACAGAUAGCAACAUGGAUAAAUCUCUAAUGCAGAAUUUUAAUAAGAAAAAGGCAUAUUGCAGAAUUAUAGGUGCAGUAUAAUACCAUGUAUAUAAAGUUUAAACACAAAAACAUGCUAUAUAUCUUUUAUGGAUAUAUCCUUGUGCAGUAAAAAAUAUAAAAUAUGCAUAAGAAUGACAAAGACAAAUUUUAGAGGAUUUAUUCCCUUAGGGAGAAAAGGAAACGGCAUCACAAGGAUUACAAGAUUUGAAUUGAAUCUACAAUAUUUUAUUCCUUAAGCUGAGUAGCGGGUACAUGGGUGUUCAUAUACUCAAAACCAUUUUUGGCACAUGAAAUAUUUUAAAAUUUUUUAAAAAGCUAGAUAGUAUGAUUGACAUCUUCAGAUACUUGAAGAUCUGGCAUGUUGAUGAUGGAAAGUAUCCUAUGACUAAGUAGGUAAAGCUAUUAUGAAGGCAAAUUUUAGGUCAUUCUUAGGAAAAACCUAAAAGGGCUGUCUAAAAAUGAACAGUGUCUUCUACAUGAUUAAGGAGUAAAACAGAGUUAAGGUCUUCGGAGGUAGCAAGUCACAGUGCAAGUAGAGUUCACUUGUCUUUGUCUUGAAAGCAAAGAUUUCUUUUCUCUUGCAAAAUUCCCGGGACAUAUCCUGAUAAAGCUUUACAUCUCAGCAGCAUCACUCUGAUUGCUCUUUUUUCAGUUGGUGUCAUUGGAAGCCCCUAAACCCUAUUUAACUUCAGUGCCAUUGACUGGCACUUCCUGCCACUUACAUCUUUGCCAUUUGGCAGUGCCUGGGUUGGACAGAUCUGCCACCUGGUUCUGGUUCUGCAUUAUUGUCAUUCCUUGUGCCAGUCAUAAGGAUUCACUGGCACCCCUCUGAGAUUAGGAGUUCUCCAGGUCUGGAGAUAUUAAAAAAGAGAGAGAUGGUCAGCGAUGCUAUAGAAGGGAUUUUAGUAGUCUCUGGUAUGCUGGAGCACAUAACCUUUGAGUAUGGAUUUCCAUAUUCAUUUAUUCAAGAAAUGUUUAGUGAGUGUUUACUUUGUGCAAAGCACCUUGCUCGUUAAGCUUCUAUGGCUCUAGAAUUUGUCUUUGAAAAUGCGUCUCUAACUUUACAGAAAUGAAAAUUGAGACAUGAUGGGAAAACUUAUUUUAAGCAAACAAUAAGGCAGGCAGGCAGGCUGUGGUUUGCAGACCGACCACUUCUAGCCUUAUUGCCAAGAGCACUACGAGAGUCACAGGAACAUUUUGGAGAUAAUGUUACAUUCACAGACUUGUACAUGUCUUACAGUGAAAGACACCCCAGAGGUUAUCCAAUUCAAAUACUUCAUUUUACAGACGAGGAAACAAAAGCCUGGGGAGGUAUGUGGCUAACUGAUUGCAGAAUCUAUUCUCAGAUAUGGUAUUUCCUUCCCAACCUUGAAAGUUGUGUUCCUGAAAACCUCCAUGGAAGGAGAAAUUACACUUGAGGAACUUACGACCUUAGGAAGAAAAUAGAGUUUGGGGAGUAAGAUAGUGAGUGAAUCUGAGAAAGUUAUCAUCAUUGUUUUAUAUCUACUAAUAAAACAAUGUAGGUACCAUUGAUACCCACUUUAUUUUAUGCCGAACGCAUUUGUAAUGGUGAAUCUUGUACAGGUGAUUUUAUUUACUUCUUAGAAUUCCUUAUUAACACUUCUCUAGGCUCUCUAUACACAAUUUUUGUAAAACUUCUUGUGAGUCAUUGCCUUUUUGUGUAAAUACUGGUUACAAUGGAUUGUUUUCUGUUUCAGGUCCUGUUGUCUCUGCCUUUUUGCAUCUUUGACAUUAUCAUUGUAACUUAUAACUUCUAACCUCUACUCUGACUCAACUUGGUUGUUUCCUGAUUCCUCUCUCUCCUUCUUGCUGUUCCUUCUCUCUGCUGUCCUUUAACUGUAGCUGCUCACCAGGACUAUGCUGUAAACUUUCACCUCCUCUCACUGUUUACUCUACCUAUGUAACUAUCAUGUUUGAUAAUGAGGUCCUGCUGAAUAAGCCUGUUUGCUGUCUUUCCAGGCUGUGCUUUCCCACUCCUGCAGCUACUGCCUUAAUUCAGGUUAUCACUGUCUCUCACUAGGACCCCUGCACUAAUCUCCUUGAUUGGUCAAAGGUUUCAUUAUUUGCAUUGUGCUCUGAGUGAAAUUUUCUUAUGACGGCUUACAGUUCCCAGUGGCUGCAUGUGCCUAUAGAACACUAACUUCCUAAGCAUUUCAUCCAAGGCCCUCCACCUUAGCUCUUGUACCCUUUACUCCAGCCAUAUUUAUUGACCCUACUUGAUGGCCUAAUGUACCAGACUAUUUGGCAUCUUCAUGCCUUUGUGAACUGACUUUUCUUCAUCAGGAAUGCCCUUCACUCUGCCCCUCUCACGCUACCCAUUUCCCCUCCCACGUGCAAUCACCUGCCUGGUGAACAUCUACUCUUCCUCGAAAACUUUGCUCAUACCAUCACCUCUCCCUUGGAGGUACCACUUCCUACUCCUACUUUCUGCUCAUCUCGUACCUCAUUAAAGAGAAUAGGAGGUUCCCACCACAAAAUCUGAAAGCCUCCUGCCACAAAACCUGUCUUCUUCCCUCUGUGCAACUGAAUGUGACUCCUUGUAAUCAAAUGCUCAUCCCUCAAUUCAUGUUGGGAAUCCCAUCUCUCUCACUUUCUCAAGAAGUUCAAUGCUUCUGUCAGACUGUCUCCAGUCAAUUAUUCCCAUCAGCAUAUAAACAUAAUCCAGUAUUACUGUCCUAACCAAUACUCCAUAUUGAUCCACAUCCCUUUCCAGCUACCAUUCUUUUCUGUCUUUCACAAUAAAAUUCCAUAAAAUAGUUGUGUACACACAGCACUUUUAUGUUUUCACUUCACAGUCACUUUGGAAUUCACUUCAAAUUGGCAUUCACCCACAUGACCCAGUUGGUCACUAAUGACCUUUAUAGUGCUAUGUCCACAUUUUCAUCUCACUAGAACUUUCAGCAACAUCCAACAAUUGACCAUUCUCUUCUCAAAAUUGGCCAUUCUCUUCUUGAAAUUGUUCUUGGCUUACAUGAUUCCAUAUUUCCCUGGUCUUUUAUCUGCUUCUCUACCUGCUCCUCCUAAGCCUCUGUUGUGUCUUUUCUUCCACUUUCUAUAAUACCUCUAAGUAUUGAAUUUCCUCAGUAUUCUGCUCUGAACCCCAUGCCUUAUGUUUCCAUAAAUAAUCUCAUUCAUCCUCAUGGCUUAAAAUACCAAUUCCAAGCCAAUGACUCCUAUGUCUGUAUCUCUAGUCCUAACCUCUCCUCUGACCUCCUGACUUAUACUCUUGUCUUUAUAACACCCACUUAUGAAUGCUUCAUGGACAUCUCACAUAAAUAUAUCCAAGACUGCAUUUUUAUUUCCCUCUGAAAACCUAGUCCUCCUUCCAUCCUCCCCACCUCCCUUUUUUGGCAACAUUAUCCACGCUGUUGAUCAGGUCUGGAUCCUGGGAGUCACUAAUUAUUUCUCCCUGUAUUUCUUCCUCUAGUCCAAUUCGUCACUAAGUCUGAUCAUCUGUCUCCUAAAUGCAGCAUAAGGAGAUCCACUUUUCUUUAUCGUUACUGCCACAUUGUAGUUUGAUCUACUAUUAUUUUAAACUUAACAACCACAAUACCUUCAAACUGAUCUCCAUGCACACAGAACACAGUGACUCUCAUCCUUAAUUGAAUCUCUACACAGCCACAGAAACAGUCUUUCUUGAAACAUAAAUCCCAGCAUGACACUGCCUGACAUGCAAUCUCUCUUUGCACUUUGUCUUAGUCCAGGUACAUCAGUGUUGCUAUAAGUCCUGUUGGUCAGCCUCCUGCCCCGUACCCUAAGCUCAUCUUACAUCAGCGAGUCCUCACUCUCCACUCUCUAGACUGACUCCUGAUGUUUUCUCAAGCAAGUUGAUUUCUUUCUCAUCUUAAUCCUUCACAGGUGGUACAUAGUGCUUCCCGAGUUUAGAUCUCCACUCUCCCUUAUGUUCUCAUAAAGGAUUCAUAUGUCCUUUAGGUCUUGGCUUAAAUGCCAUCUAUUCAGAGAAGCCUUCCCUGGCGACCUUAUCUGAGUCAAUCUUCCAUUGUUAUAUUGUUAUAUUGAUUUGCUUUGUUUCUUGCUACUUCUUCUACUUGACUCGGUAGAAGGCUCUGCAUAAUUGACCAAAAUAUAUACAGUGUUUUUCAGAGUGCUAGUCACCUAUUAGUACUGAAGAAUUAUUUGUUGAAUAACUUAAUGAUUUUUUUGCAGUUACACGAGUGUUGUUUUGAUUGACUGAAAAUAGAUUGCCUAAGAUGACAUGAAAGAUCAAAGGUGAAGAGUGGAAGAUAGCACCACUUUGGGUUAAAAGUUUACUUAAGUCAGCAACUCCUCAAGAAACAGCUACCAGCAUUCCUGGGACUAUUAUGCCCUGGUCUACUUGUAGCCUGUUUGUAUUCCAGCCUACUUUGGCACCUUGCCGUCUCUGCUUACCGACUUUCUGCAUAAGAGUGAAAUAGAAAGUGACUUGGAACCAUGUAUACCUAAAGUGUGACAUUUAAAAAAACGUCCUCAGAAAAACUAAUAUCCUGGUUAUUUUUGAAUGUGCUAAGAGACUCUUUUUUUUAAUCUUGUUUUUUUAUUUUGAAUAUAGAGCACAUUGAGGUUUAAAAUGGAAAAUUCUAUUAAAAAUAAAAGGCAUACGUUUACAUAUCUUACAAUUACCUCUGCUUCUGUCCCUCCCAUUCCUUAUGAG